rnacentral:sRNA from 1 species
GCCGAGUAUAGUGGUUGUCCGCCUAUGCUUUCCAUUCGGUUCGAGUGAAGCUCGCGAAGCUGCAUCAAAUAGUCAGCGGUCUGCUUUGCGACGCGUUCUUUGUCCGCUGCGGACAUGGCGCGCCAGAUUUCACUCAAGGGUUGUCCUUGAAUCCGUUUGGUGAGCAGGAAAUAUGUCCCGUCGACUUCCUGCCACUCCUCAACGACUUUGGGUAUAGGUAUUGAAGUUCUUUCAGCCAAAAAACGAAUGUUGAGGGAUUCGAAGUUGGGUGGCUCAAUGGUCCGUUCUUUCAGAACCAGGUUUGAUCCCAAAGACCAUGCUCCUCGAUUACUGACACCGUAGAAAAUUUUCACAUGGCUAUUAUAGCGACACCCCGCUUGACGUGUUUCUGACCAGCUACAUGCCGAGCAGAUAUCUUCGGAGGCCAUCUGGGAAAUGGAGGGCAGAACUUGUCUUGGAGCAAGUAAUAGGAUAGAGAAAUAAGAUGGAUAUAUCCUUGGAGUUGGAGAAGUCUGGGGCUCUUAUUUAUACGCUGGCACCGAAGUUGAACUAACCAACACACAUUUUUUCAACCCUUUCCCUCACGCCGCCGAAUUGAACCACUGAUGGUACUUACUCUUGGGAGGGAUACUGGUUGCGGGCGGGUUCACGGACACGAUCUUGUACGCAUCCGUCGCCAACCUCAAAACGUUGACCAAUCAAAUCAUAAUGGCUCCAGGAAUGUAUUAUUGCUUAGUAUCUAUCUACUCGUAUAUUAAAACUUAGCUAACAUUGGAAACUAUAGUUAUAACAAUCCAGUGGUGACUAUUGAUGAUAUGAAGAUGUAGUUAGCGAUAUUUAUCAAUGUGUUAUCUUUGCUGAUAUGAAUAUGUAGUGAUAUACAGAUUGCUCACUGCCUCCACAUCAGCCGCAUGAAAAUAGAAAAUUAUAUAUUUUUGUACAGCACAUUGGGCAGACAGGCAGCCAGACAGGCAGACAUACAGCAAUAUAGAUAGAUGGAUAGAUAGACAGAU